rnacentral:lncRNA from 1 species
AGGGUGAUACAUCAGGAUGCACAAAACGCUGAGUCAAUGGAGGCGUACCGUCCAUAGCAUUUGACUGCUCGCUACUAGAAUCUCCAAGCCUCAUGGUAGAUAACUGAGGAGAUGUACCUGUGGGAGAUGGAGUACCUGCCGAUAAGUCGUGCUCGACGAAUAGCUUGUAAAGGUAGGUCCUCGUAGCGUCGUGAAGGCAAUGCCUGUGAAGUAGAUGAA